AUUGAACGCUGGCGGCAUGCUUUACACAUGCAAGUCGGACGGCAGCACAGAGAAGCUUGCUUCUUGGGUGGCGAGUGGCGAACGGGUGAGUAACAUAUCGGAACGUACCGAGCAGUGGGGGAUAACUAAUCGAAAGAUUAGCUAAUACCGCAUAUCUUCUGAGGAAGAAAGCAGGGGACCAUUUGGCCUUGCGCUGUUUGAGCGGCCGAUAUCUGAUUAGCUAGUUGGUGGGGUAAAGGCCUACCAAGGCGACGAUCAGUAGCGGGUCUGAGAGGAUGAUCCGCCACACUGGGACUGAGACACGGCCCAGACUCCUACGGGAGGCAGCAGUGGGGAAUUUUGGACAAUGGGCGCAAGCCUGAUCCAGCCAUGCCGCGUGUCUGAAGAAGGCCUUCGGGUUGUAAAGGACUUUUGUCAGGGAAGAAAAGGGCGGGGUUAAUACCCCUGUCUGA
rnacentral:rRNA from 1 species